CCCUUAGAUGUUCUGGGCCGCACGCGCGCUACACUGAUCAGUGCAACAAGCAUCCGUCCUUGGCCGACAGGCCCGGGCAAUCUUUGAACGCUGAUCGUGAUGGGGAUAGACUUUUGCAAUUUUUGGUCUUCAACGAGGAAUUCCUAGUAAACGCAAGUCAUCAACUUGCAUUGAUUACGUCCCUGCCCUUUGUACACACCGCCCGUCGCACCUACCGAUUGAAUGGUCCGGUGAGGCCUCCGGAUUGGCGCGCACCUCGGUGCCGCCGAGAAGUUGGCUAAACCUUACCAUUUAGAGGAAGGUGAAGUCGUAACA
rnacentral:rRNA from 1 species